GAUGAACGCUGGCGGCGUGCCUAAUACAUGCAAGUCGAGCGAAGCGGGGACGGGUGAGUAACACGUGGAUAACCUCCUAUAAGACUGGGAUAAAUUCGGGAAACCGGAGCUAAACCGGAAACUUAGAGAUGGAUCCGCGCUGGAUUAGGUAGUUGGUAAGGUAACGGCUUACCAAGGCAACGAUGCAUAGCCGACCUGAGAGGGUGACCGGCCACACUGGAACUGAGACACGGUCCAGACUCCUACGGGAGGCAGCAGUAGGGAAUCUUCCACAAUGGGCGAAAGCCUGACGCAGCAACGCCGCGUGAGUGAUGAAGGUCUUCGGAUCGUAAAGCUCUGUUAUUGGGGAAGCGUUACCUAAUCAGGAAGCCACGGCUAACUACGUGCCAGCCGCCGCGGUAAUUC
rnacentral:rRNA from 1 species